UUCACAAAACAGUCUACAGUUGGCGUGGUGUAGGAUGAGAUUAGGGGAAGCAGUUGAGAGGAAAGAGCAAGCAUUCCACAGAUGGUUCCAGAAAGGAAUCCACUCAUCUUGAACACUGGAUUGAAAACAAAAACAACUAUCUUGAAGAAUUUAAAGAUCUUUGGACAAAUAAGCAUCCAAAGAAAAAGGGAGAACUACCUAGAAAAGAUUACCAAGAAAAGGAAUAAUUUGACCUAAAGCAAUCUCUGAAGUCUCCAAAAAGAUGAUAGGAUCCCACAAUGACGAUUCCGUCAGGAUGAUGAUAAUGCCACUAAGCUGACAAACACCACCCAAAGAUCAGCUUUGGACUACAAACUGCUCAGGACAGAUCCAGCCUCACAGACUACUCUAGCCAGGACUUGAGACAAGCCCUGCACCUUCCCAUUAUGCAGAGACUGGACAACAAAUGAUACAGCUAACUCUCCCAGGACUUGACAAUUAACCCAAUUUUUUCUUUUCAGGAUCCCCUAAAGAUGCCCCCAGACAAUAGGAAGUAAUUUUAAGAAUACAAUACCCACAUUCCCAA